GCCUGUUGCUCUACUGAUAAGAGGCAAUAUAAACAAGAAAGCCAGGGAUUGACAAACAACCCUUGAGCACCAGGAUUCCUCAGGAUACCUCUCCUGGAUGUUCAUCUCUCUGUCAGAAAAAUAAAUUGGUGGAAGAGAGGGCAAAUUGACAGUCUGAUCCAAUGCUUAUCUCACCUGGUCACCAGGAGCCCCACCCUUUCAGGAUGGGGCAAACAGCUGGUCUCCAGGAGCUCAUGACUGAUUUAAUAAAAGUUCUGGAAGAAUCUGUAGUAAUGCCAUCUCUACAAGUGUCUGUGAGACUCACUUUCAAACUCUGGAGUAUGCAGUACCAUAACUACACAUACUAAAAUCACACCACGUAUUUGUUAACAUAAACAAAUAAGGCAAUGUUC